GACAGAGCUUUGGACCUUCUCGAUGUGGCUCACUGGUGUUUCCCCAGGACUUAGAAGAGUGUGUGGCAUACAGCAGUGCCCAGUAAGCAUUUGCUGAAUCAGUGACUCAGCAGUAGGCACUCAAUCAAUGCUAGUCAACUGGAUUGAAUAAGCAGCAAGUCUUCCCAGGCACCAGUCCAUUGCAUUCCAGAUUUAACAUACCCGCUGGAGACCGGGCUCUGACUUGGAUCCUUCAGCUACAUAUCCACAGCCCCCUGGAAUGGGAAGGCAAGGAAUUAGCCAGCCCUGGGAGAGGCAGUCUCCAGGGUCAGCAAGGCUCCAAGAUGUCAAAGCCUCAGAAAAUAAAAGGUCACGAAAAGCAGGCCUGGCCCCACGGACUGUAGCUCACCCACCAGAUUCAAUCUCUCUCCUGGAACUGGUGACAAUUUUGGGGACCUGAUGAGAAAUGAAACUAUGGGGCCCUUGGUUCAGAGAUUAUUAAGAAUUUCAAGACAGUGACAGCAGAGCAUGAAAGCGAGCAUUUUACACCCAUGAAGCAGGUCCUUCUGUCGCCUGUCCUCACCAAAUUAUCAGGAAUGUGGCACCGGCCUCGUGGGCAUCUCUUGAUGUCCCUAAGUAACUCAAAGAAGGACUACUGAAACUUGGCCACAAUCUCAGGCCUAUUGUCCACACCUCAGUUGGCGGUUAUCUGGAGGAUUUUGUUGGAGAAGGGCGGUCUCCCUGCGCUGGGCCAUCACUCCUGGGGACGAGGGGCGGGGGGCACCUCCUGGGCCACUUGGGUCUCCUAGUGACAGGUGAGGUUCCCAUGGGCAUGAAGGCCUUGCCUCCCAAGGCUUCUCCCGGUGUGGAUCCGGCCAUGCUGGACCAGCGUGGACUUGUGCACGAAGGCCUUGCCGCAGGCUCCGCACUGGCAGGGCCUCUCUCUAGUCGCUGUAGGUCCUCUCCCGCAGGGUCAAGGCGGACGACUUGGGGAAGCGCCGCCUCCCAACUGGAGGCGAAAGAACACCCUCUGCCCUGUGGACGUCCUCUGGUGUGCUCACCGACCGCCCCGCCCCCCUUCCCGCGCGCUCCGCCUCCUACCCCAUAACGCUCUGCACCAGGGCCUUGCCCUGCCCUGGCAGCUCCUGAGGCAGCUCGCCAGGGUGCGUGUGGUGGUGGUGGUGGACCAGGUCUCACUUCCUGUGGAACGUCUUCCCGCAUACCCCGCAUGGGGCCUGUCACCCGUGGGGGCCCGCUGGUGGCCGAGCAGCGACGAGCACUUGGUGAAGCUUCGCACUUGAAGGGUUUGUCCCUGUGGACGUGCGGCCGCUGUCGGCGCAGAGGAAGGGCAGCUCACCUGUGUGCACCGAGAGGCCGACGCGCUUGCUGAAGGCCUUCGCGUACUAGGCACACGCGAACCGCUUGUCCCAGUCAUGCACGCUCUGGUGCUGCACCAGCUCAGCGGCCCGCGCGGAGGCCUCUCCGCACUCGUUGCCAGCUGUGGGCUCUCCUGGGGCUCUUCCCAUCGGAACUGCGCGAGUCACACUUGUGAAGUUCUCUCUGUUCUGCAGUUCCUGGCUGGGGGGUCUUCAGGGACCCUUUCUAAAUGUCUCCUGACCUCUCCGACCGCAGAGCGCCGGGAGCAGUCCCCUCCCAGUUCUUCCAGGGCCAGCCCAGGGGCACUCCUACAGGGACAGCUUCCGAUGGGCCGUUCUGCUCGGGCCUGGACUCCGAAUCUGAAAGAGACUAAAAACAGGACAGUCACCCGCGUCGCCUGGGGUGGCCUUAGGGACUCCUACACAGCCCUUAAACCCUGAGCCAAGUCAGUCUCAGUCCCAUAACAGUGACGGUUAUCAUAAUCACAGCUGACAUUUCUUGAGCACCUACUAUGUGCCACAUGCCAUGCCAGAGAUGGGUGGCGGUCUUUCCUGGGUGACCCCCUGAAGCCAGCUCCCUGCCCUCCCUCCCCAACUUCUCCAGUCCCAGGCCUGGAUAAACCAGGCAUCUUUGUGGUGGCAGGAGUUGGUGACAUUCAGAGACGUAGCAGUGGAUCAGCCCUUUGAAUCAUCUCCAUGUAUCUAUGAGAUGGGCCCCUCAUUGCCCAUAACCAUUCUACACUACUGCAAGCAUUUGAGCAUGCACUAUGUGCCAGGUCUCUUGAGAAACUCUUGACUCACAUAUCAUGUAAUUUAACUACAGGAGGAGAGACUUAGGGAUAAUAAAUUUGGGAAAGGCCACAGGACAGCGUCAGCACGAUAGGGGUAGCAUGUGGGUGUGAUUUUGUCUCUACUUGGACCUGAGUUAGAAAAUCCUGGAGCUCACGAGCUUGCCCAGAAGGAAUGAACAGAGCAGAAUUUCUGCCCUGAAGGCUGUGGCCACCUCCCUGGUGGCAUCUGGAGGGUCCUAGGACUGGAGACUCUCACACUACCUCUUCCCAUUAGCUGUUUUUUUUGUUUUGUUUUGUUUUUCAUUACUCUUUUCUCUUUUCCCU